GAUGCACAAGAGGUGAGUAUUUCUCCAGGUACUGAUGAGUUGAGUUGAUUAGUACCUGGAAAAUUAACUCACCUCUUGUUGUAUCA
rnacentral:pre_miRNA from 1 species